UGAAUUGUAUUAACCAGCUUUACAGUCUUAAAUUUUUAACAAAUCAGAUACAUUUACAUGUAUAUGUACAUGCACGUAUCUACAUUAUUUAGUUUUUAUACCUCUGCUUCAGAAACUGUUUUACCCGUGUGUCCGUCUGUUCGUUCGUACAUGUAAAAACUCACUGUCACAUUUUUUUUCAGCGACUUUUAAAUGCAGAUGCUUCAAAUUGAACACACUCUUUUUUUAGGCAUGCCAUUUUAUUUUCAUACCAAUGGGAUGUCAUCUUCAUUCCUGUUAAAUGAUUUUUUUUUAGCCCAAGUUUUCAAAUAAAUUUUAGUUAAAGAUUUAAUUCUCAGCAACUGUUAAUCGUAGAUGCUUGAAAUUUUAAAACUCUCUUUGUUUAGACAUGUCAUAUGGUGGAAUGUUUUCGUACCAAUUGGACAUCAACUUCUUGUCAAAAGACCUGUGCUUUUGUUCAUUUUUAGAUUAAAUUUUGAAAUUAUAUUUUUUCAGCAACUAUAAAUUGCAGAUGCUGGAAAGUUUUACUUCUAUUAGUUGAAGAAGGCAAUAUAGUUGGAUUCAUUUUUUCAAAAUUCUCAGUCAACCUCCAGUUAAAUGCUUAUUUUGUAUAUUCACAUCAGUGCAGGGGUAUCACUUGUGAGCAUUGGCUCAUAGAUAUCUUAUAUGUAUGCGUUUUUAAUGGGGAGGGGGAUUGAGAUAUUAUACACCAGCCAUAAAGUUUACCUAUAAUACAUGUAAGCUCGAGCUCUCUCUUUGUAAUGUUAUCAUGGAAUCCCAUUAUGUAAUGAUUAUGUCAAAUGCAUUACAUGUAUUGUGAAAUAAAUUAUAUAAAAGU
rnacentral:misc_RNA from 1 species